GUCGCAGAAUAUAAGUGUAUAGGUUAAUUGUGCAAGUCGUCAAAGAAACUGUAGGAUAAAAUAACAAACCGAUAAGAAAUUUUAUAUUGUUAAUUCUGCUAAUACACAUUUCAACAAAACGAGAGCUUUGCGCAUAAUUAAGAAGAGCGGGUAGUAAAAACGAAAAAAGUAGUUCACAAGAAACGAUCAGUGAAAAAUGACCGAUCAUGUAUCUGGGUUAAUCGUUCUUGAAGCUUGUCUUGUCAAUAAAGUGCAAUAGAAGACGAAGACGAGUGUAUUUUAUGUAUUCCAAUAGCGAGAACCAAGAACACGUUCGAAAUCGUAGAGCAGCCUGAUACAAUGUCACUGACACAGCUGAAUGCGAGAUACGCAUAAAUUGGAUCAAAAUUUUAUUUCGUAAAGCACAACAAAAAUCCUCAACCACAUCCUCAAACAUUUCAAUUUUGCAACUUAUAAAAAAGCCUUGUAAUUAAAAUUUCGUUUCAUUUUAAAUAAGCGCUAUAAAACAGUUGUGUUAUUAAGAUUUUCUUGAAUUUAUUAUUUUUACGAUCUUUUUUAUUUUAAUUAUAUUAGGAAAAUUUUGUCAAAAAGUUUCAUAGCUGUUGCAAAUAUUGCAGAUAAGUUAUAUUCUCAAUUAAAUAAAUCGACUUAGGUAAUCGUAUUUUUUGUAUAAUUAAUUUAUUUGAUUUUAUUAGAUCGUUUAAACAUAAUCUUUAUUGUAGCUAUUACAAUUAACACAUCUGAGAGAAUAUUUACUAAUAUUGUAGUAUUGAGGAAAAACCGUUGGGGAAAUUUCGAUGAACUACAGGUAGAAAACAAUAAAAGUGCUGACAAGCCUGGAAGGAUGGGAAAUCCUGAUGGGCCAUAUGCUAACUAGUGGGCAAUAUGCUAAGUAACUAGUCACUAGUCACUAGUCACUAGUUAAUAAUCAAUAGUCACUAGUCAAUAGUUACUAGUCAAUAGUCAAUAGUCAAUAAUCAAUAGUCAAUAGUCAAUAGUCAAUAGUUGUAGUUAGAGUUAUGACUAAAUUGUGACUAGUUGCAGUUGCGAGGAAGCUGCGAGUAGUUGUGGGUCAAUCGUUAUUCAUGAGUUAUGAAUUGUUAGUUGUAAGUUGUAAGUUGUAAGUUGUAAGUUGUAAGUUGUAAGUUGUAAGUUGUAAGUUGUAAGUUGUAAGUUGUAAGCUGUAAGUUGUAAGUUGAUUUGUGAACUAAGAAUUUAGUUGUCUUUAGUUAUAUCACAUUACUACAUUAAAUUCUAAUUAAAUAGUUAUAGAUCUCUGUUUCAAUCGCAAUAAAUAAAUCUAUAUAAUAAAUAAAGACCACUAUAGUCCUGAUAUCUAUAAUAUUUUCAACGUAUUUUUAAUAUGCUACUUUUGUUGAGAAUUUAAUAUUAUCCUCAGUUUACGAUACGGACACAUUUACUAUCUUUUGGGAAGUAGGAGUUUUUCAGAUUGCACAUUAUAAAGUUUGCAAUUUGGACUACGUCGACAAGUUAAUUAGCAUCUUAAGCGCUUGACGGAUCCACUCAACAGCAAGCGACAUGUCAUAAACUUCGAUACCAGAUGAGAUAGACCACCGCCAAUGGAACGUUACGCUAUGCACCCUUGAUCAGAUACGCACAAGACGCAUCACGUGUGAGACGCCUACGAGUACAAGCAUAUUCAACACACUUUCGCUUACGCUUCUUACUCUUACGUUUAUACUAAAUACUUUAAAUAAACAUACAAAUCACAAGCAUACUAGAAAAACAGUUGCAACUUGACUGAUCGUCAAGUUGAGAGGUCGUAAAAACUUCAUUUCACUCUUAUGAGAAUUUAACACAUCGAACCGGAUAACAUUAAUUUUGACGUAAAUUACUAAUUUUAGAAACUACGAAGGUAAUUAUUCGUUUACUUUCUUUUGUUGUUUUUUUUUACUAAGGAAGUAUUCAUUUCUCAUACUUGAUGUAAUUCAAAAUUUGUAUAUAGUUACUUACUCUGAUUGGAAAUAUGUUAUUUAAAAUACGAAACGAAAUAGUGUAUAUUGUAAGAUAACGUGUAUGAUUCAGUAGCUGAUUUUACUUUGAAAAGUUUACAUAACAUGGGAUAAACAAAUUUGUAAAAACACUAAUUAUAAGGUAGCACAUACUUGUUACCAGCGAAAUUAAUUGCAAUCUGAAUUGUAAUGGCACGAAAUGAAAGUAUACUUAUUAUUUCUUUAACGAUAAUUUAUUUUGGAAAAAUAUUUAACAAGGUAGUUAUCUGCAAUUCAGUGUUGCAAUAUUGAUAAUCAGGAGAAGUUAAAAUUAUUCUCUAACUUCAAGUUACAUAUCAAAGUGAAAAAUUACAAAAGCAUACACUAGUUCAAGAUAAAGGAAUCAAAAUGGGUGUAUUAAUUAUUAUCUUCUACUAAAAUAAAAAGGCUUAAUCGACAAAGGAACGAUACUGAAAUGAUUACUUAAGAUUUAAAUAAUUAAUUGCGAAGGAUUUUAAAAUUGAAGUUAAUUCAUUUGUUCCUUAGGUCAUUUACGACCAAAUCGUAUUUUUUUAUUAGAAAAUCUUUUAAAUUUGAGAAAAAUAAGAAAUAAUACUAAAGAUGUCUCACAGUUUUUAAAUGUUAAAACUCCUUUUCCAGUUGUAACGAAAGCAAUGUCGAGAUAUUGAAAAAUAAAAAUUACUGUAGGGUUAAAUUUUUUAAUCUAUAGAUUAACAACUCAUUUUAGGAUUUUACUAUUUUACUAGAACUAUGAUAAUUCUUCCACAGAAACUGUUCACGUGCUUAUCUAUGACUAUGCUUAUAUAUACGUUUUGAAAUACAUACAUUUAUGUAUAUAGGUAAAUGUUGUGUAAUCACUUCAAAGUACGUAAUGAUAAUUCGUUAUCUACUUGCGUCCACUUUUUUAUUUCUUUCUCCAUUUAAGAACAUUUCUAAACAUUCGAUUAGUCAUCAAAGGAUGUUAAGAUUAUCUUGAAGGACGAAUUAACAAAGAUAAGGAUACGGAUUAGUAACUUAUCUUAGUUCACUCGUAUACUCAAUGAUAACUAACAUUAACUGGCAGAAAAAGAAAGAGAUGGUAUCCCAUUGGGGGUAGCCAUCCACAUGCUAUAUUGCUAUAUCACUAAGCUAUAAUAUUUUAUCAAAUGUCCUACUGGACAAAUUGUAAAAUGUAAAUAAAUAAAUAAUAAAAAAAAAGAAAAAGAAAUAUAAAAUUAUAUGAAGUUAUUAUAAUUAUGUAUACUUAGGUAACUAUUAAAAUUCACUUUUCUUUUUAAACCGAGUAUUUCUUCUCUUAAAAUACUCGUCGUGAAGCGUGUAAAAAAUGAACCUGAUAUUUUAUAAAUAACGUUAGCAAAAACUUAUCUUUAUCUUUGUAUCUUUUUUCCUUUUAAUAUAAUAAUAUCGGUCGUUUACGUUGAUUGUAUGGUUCACCGAGUGUGAAUUAAGCACGUGCUUUUCUGACGCAAUUUUUAUAUCACAUGAAAGAUAUUUAUGAGGCAAUGAAUCGUUACAAAAAUAACCAAUUUAAACAAUUCUCAUAGGUAUGGUUUAAUGUUUAAUUAUCAGUUUUUAGUAUAAUCGUUAAUGCGCGCAUUUUCAUGUACAAUACUUUUAGGAAAUAUACAGGUGCAAAAAUAUACUUGAUAUUAGAAAUAUAAUAUUCAUUAUACGAAUAGUACUAAAUAGGUGAAGCAAGGCUCUGUUUUUUUAUUCCUUUAAUUGUAUUUGUAAAAAUAUAAAUCGCCGUAAUUCGUAAAAAUGCAUAAACAUCAGUAGUUUACUAAUCAUCAUAGGCAUGCAAAAAUAUUGUUCACAUAUCGUAAGUAUUGCUCACUCUGUUACGAUUCAUCACGAUAUUGUUAACUUUAUUUUCUCACAUUAUAUUUCAUGUAUAUGUUGCGUCACAUUAUUUAUUAUUUAUGGUUAUUAAUGGUAGAAUGUAGAGUUUUGACGAAGAUUAAAAAAUCGUACAUUCGCAUGUUUUGUAACUACAAGUAUUAGUAAAAAGUGUGUAAACAAGAUAUGGAAACGUAAUAUCUAUCUGUUGUUGUCAGUUGUACGUUUACUAGGAAUUUAAAAUAGGAAGAAAGUCAUAAUUUUAUUCAGAGAAUUUGGAUAAAUGUAAAUUCAUUGCUGCUUCUCGAUAAAGACAAUUACGUAUAUUUAUCCUUAUGAUCCAAGUUAAUAUCUAUGUAAAUCUAUAUUUUAAAUUACUUAUAUUGUCCCUUUAUUUACAAAUUAAUAUUUUCAAGGGUAAUUGACGAUACUAACUGUUCGCCGAAUGGAUUUAUUCUCAUAUUUCUCUC